CUCAGAUUGAACGCUGGCGGCAGGCCUAACACAUGCAAGUCGAGCGGAAACGACACUAACAAUCCUUCGGGUGCGUUAAUGGGCGUCGAGCGGCGGACGGGUGAGUAAUGCCUAGGAAAUUGCCUUGAUGUGGGGGAUAACCAUUGGAAACGAUGGCUAAUACCGCAUAAUGCCUACGGGCCAAAGAGGGGGACCUUCGGGCCUCUCGCGUCAAGAUAUGCCUAGGUGGGAUUAGCUAGUUGGUGAGGUAAUGGCUCACCAAGGCGACGAUCCCUAGCUGGUCUGAGAGGAUGAUCAGCCACACUGGAACUGAGACACGGUCCAGACUCCUACGGGAGGCAGCAGUGGGGAAUAUUGCACAAUGGGCGAAAGCCUGAUGCAGCCAUGCCGCGUGUAUGAAGAAGGCCUUCGGGUUGUAAAGUACUUUCAGUUGUGAGGAAGGGUGUGUAGUUAAUAGCUGCGCAUCUUGCGUUAAG
rnacentral:rRNA from 1 species